rnacentral:rRNA from 1 species
AACACCUACGGGGGGCAGCAGUGAGGAAUAUUGGUCAAUGGACGCAAGUCUGAACCAGCCAUGCCGCGUGCAGGAUGACGGCUCUAUGAGUUGUAAACUGCUUUUGUACGAGGGUAAUAUCAGAUACGUGUAUCUGCUUGAAAGUAUCGUACGAAUAAGGAUCGGCUAACUCCGUGCCAGCAGCCGCGGUAAUACGGAGGAUGCGAGCGUUAUCCGGAUUUAUUGGGUUUAAAGGGUGCGUAGGCGGAUUUUUAAGUCAGCGGUAAAAUGU